GGGGAAAGCACGUAUAAUAGGAAUUGGAAUGGAUUAUUCAGCAACAAGCAAAAUAGCUCUAAAAUGGGCAAUUGAUAAUUUAAUUGAAGAAGGUGACACAAUUAUUAUUAUUCAUGUUGUUUCUUCUAAAGUUGAACCAACUAGUAAACAACUCUUUGAAGAUACUGGAUCACCUUUGAUACCUCUGGAUGAAUUUAAACAGAUUAAUGUGUCUAAGUACUAUGGAUUAAAUCCUGACAAAGAGGUUAUUGAUAUGCUUGAGCCUGUUGCCAAACUCAAAAAGGUGACAGUGGUGUCAAAGGUGUAUUGGGGAGAUGCAAGAGAGAAACUGUGUGAUGCUGCUGAAAGUCUCAAACUUGAUUCACUUGUAAUUGGAGGCAGAGGCUUAGGAGUUCUUAAAAGGGUGUUACUUGGAAGUGUCAGUAACUAUGUGGUGCAAAAUGCAACAUGUCCUGUUACUGUUGUGAAAACCAGUCCUCAAAAGUGAAAAAUAAGAGUAAAGUUUAUGUAAUUUUGUUAAUAAAAAAAAGAAGAAAAGCUAUUUUGUGUUUUUACUUUCUUUCGUUUUUGUAUAAUGUCUUGUUUUGGAUUUUAUUUAUUUGAUUUCUUAGGGUAUGAGUUGGCUUUUGUUUGGGAGUGUUGGAUGUGAGAUGAUUGUGGGACUUUGUUAUAUUUCAAUUAUAUAUUAUAUACAUAUUUUUGUUGGUUUCUUGUUUGUCAUUUUUGAGACACUUGUCUUUGUCAAAAUGUAAAUGUUUCAUUUGUGAGAUUGGGAAGAAAACAUUGUGAAGUUUCUUGUGAUAAAUAUUACAAUAG
rnacentral:misc_RNA from 1 species